rnacentral:rRNA from 1 species
UAGCCGUAAACGAUACUCGCUAGGUGUCGGCCACGGUGCGACCGUUGUCGGUGCCGUAGGGAAGCCGUGAAGCGAGCCACCUGGGAAGUACGGCCGCAAGGCUGAAACUUAAAGGAAUUGGCGGGGGAGCACAACAACGGGUGGAGCUUGCGGUUUAAUUGGAUUCAACGCCGGAAAUCUUACCGGGACCGACAGCAGCAUGAAGGCCAAGCUGAAGACUUUGCCGGAUUAGCUGAGAGGAGGUGCAUGGCGUAGUCGUGU